rnacentral:rRNA from 1 species
CCUACGGGUGGCAGCAGUGGGGAAUAUUGGACAAUGGGGGGAACCCUGAUCCAGCGACGCAGCGUGAGUGAAGAAGUAUUUCGGUAUGUAAAGCUCUAUCAGCAGGGAAGAAAGACAUGACGGUACCUGACUACGAAGCCCCGGCUAACUACGUGCGCGCAGCCGCUGGAAUACGGAGGGGGCAAGCGUUAUCCGGAUUUACUGGGUGUAAAGGGAGCGUAGACGGCGAUGCAAGUCUGAAGUGAAAGGCGGGGGCCCAACCCCCGGACUGCUUUGGAAACUGUAUGGCUGGAGUGCAGGACAGGUAAGUGGAAUUCCUAGUGUAGCGGUGAAAUGCGUAGAUAUUAGGAGGAACACCAGUGGCGAAGGCAGCUUACUGGACUGUAACUGACGUUGAGGCUCGAAAGCGUGGGGAGCAAACAGGAUUAGAUACCCGUGUAGUC